GUAGGUGGCAAGCGUUGUCCAGAAUUAUUGGGGCGUAAAGCGCGCGCAGGCGGUCCUUUAAGGUCUGAUGUGAAAGCCCACGGGCUCAACCGUGGAGGGUCAUUGGAAACUGGGGGACUUGAGUACAGAAGAGGAAAGCGGAAUUCCAAGUGUAGCGGUGAAAUGCGUAGAGAUUUGGAGGAACACCAGUGGCGAAGGCGGCUUUCUGGUCUGUAACUGACGCUGAGGCGCGAAAGCGUGGGGAGCAAACAGGAUUAGAUAGCCUGGUAGUCCACGCCGUAAACGAUGAGUGCUAAGUGUUAGGGGGUUUCCGCCCCUUAGUGCUGCAGCUAACGCAUUAAGCACUCCGCCUGGGGAGUACGGCCGCAAAGGCUGA
rnacentral:rRNA from 1 species